rnacentral:rRNA from 1 species
UACGAAGGGUGCUAGCGUUGUUCGGAAUUACUGGGCGUAAAGCGCGCGUAGGCGGCUUCGCAAGUCAGAUGUGAAAUCCCUGGGCUCAACCCAGGAAUUGCCUUUGAAACUGCAAAGCUAGAGUGUCGGAGGGGAUAGCGGAAUUGCUAAUGUAGAGGUGAAAUUCGUAGAUAUUAGCAGGAACACCGGUGGCGAAGGCGGCUAUCUGGACGACAACUGACGCUGAGGCGCGAAAGCACGGGGAUCAAACAGG